UGCCAGCAGCCGCGGYAAURCGAAGGGUGCAAGCGUUAAUCGGAAUUACUGGGCGUAAAGCGCGCGUAGGUGGUUCGUUAAGUUGGAUGUGAAAGCCCCGGGCUCAACCUGGGAACUGYAUCCAAAAYUGGCGAGCUMKAGUACGGUAGAGGGUGGUGGAAUUUCCUGUGUAGCGGUGAAAUGCGUMGAUAUAGGAAGGAACACCAGUGGCGAAGGCGACCACCUGGAYUGAUACUGACACUGAGGUGCGAAAGCKUGGGGAGCAAACAGGAUUAGAUACCCUGGUARUCCACGCCGAAACGAUGUCAACUAGCCGUUGGGUACCUUGAGUACUUAGUGGCGCAGCUAACGCAUUAAGUUGACCGUCUGGGGAGUACGGCCGCAAGGUUAAAACUCAAAUGAAUUGACGGGGGCCCGCACAAGCGGUGUAGCAUGUGGUUUAAUUCGAAGCAACGCGAAGAACCUUACCUGGCCUUGACAUGCUGAGAACUUUCCAGAGAUGGAUUGGUGCCUUCGGGAACUCAGACACAGGUGCUGCAUGGCUGUCGUCAGCUCGUGUCGUGAGAUGUUGGGUUAAGUCCCGUAACGAGCGCAACCCUUGUCCUUAGUUACCAGCACGUUAUGGUGGGCACUCUAAGSAGWCUGCCGGURACAAMCCGGAGRAAGGUGRGAAUGACGUCAAGUCAUCAUGGCCCUUACGGCCAGGGCUACACACGUGCUACAAUGGUCGGUACAAAGGGUUGCCAAGCCRCKAGGUGKAGCUAAUCCCAUAWAACCGAUCGUAGUCCGGAUCGCAGUCUGCAACUCGACUGCGUGAAGUCGGAAUCGCUAGUAAUCGUGAAUCAGAAUGUCACGGUGAAUACGUUCCCGGGCCUUGUACACACCGCCCGUC
rnacentral:rRNA from 1 species